rnacentral:tRNA from 1 species
UAUAGCUCAGUGGUACAGCACUUGCCUAGCAUGUAUGAGGCCCUGGGUUCCAUCCCAGUA